GACCAGACUCCUACGGGAGGUAGCAGUGGGGCCUCUUGGACAAUGGGGGGCACCCUGAUCCCGCGACGCCGCGUGCGUGAAGAAGUCUUUCGGUAUGUAACGCUCUCUCAGCAGGGACGACAGAAAUGCCGGUCCCUGACUAAGCAGCCCCGGCUAACUACGUGCCAGCAGCCGCGGUAAUACGUAGGGGGCAAGCGUUAUCCGGAUUUACUGGGUGUAAAGGGAGCGUAGACGGCAGUGCAAGGCUGAAGUGAAAGGCGGGGGCCCAACCCCCGGACUGCUUUGGAAACUGUGCUGCUGGAGUGCAGGAGAGGCAAGUGGAAUUCCUAGUGUAGCGGUGAAAUGCGUAGAUAUUAGGAGGAACACCAGUGGCGAAGGCGGCUUGCUGGACGGUAACUGACGUUGAGUCUCGAAAGCGUGGGGAGCAAACAGGAUUAGAUACCCUCGUAU
rnacentral:rRNA from 1 species